rnacentral:rRNA from 1 species
CGCGGCCUAUCAGCUUGUUGGUGAGGUAACGGCUCACCAAGGCUAUGACGGGUAGCUGGUCUGAGAGGACGAUCAGCCACACUGGGACUGAGACACGGCCCAGACUCCUAUGGGAGGCAGCAGUGGGGAAUAUUGCGCAAUGGGCGAAAGCCUGACGCAGCAACGCCGCGUGCGGGAUGACGGCCUUCGGGUUGUAAACCGCUUUCGGCAGGGAAGAAGCGAAAGUGACGGUACCUGCAGAAGAAGCACCGGCUAACUACGUGCCAGCAGCCGCGGUAAUACGUAGGGUGCAAGCGUUGUCCGGAUUUAUUGGGCGUAAAGAGCUCGUAGGCGGUCUGUCGCGUCGGAUGUGAAAACUCGGAGCUCAACUCCGAGCCUGCAUCCGAUACGGGCAGACUAGAGUGUGGUAGGGGAGACUGGAAUUCCUGGUGUAGCGGUGAAAUGCGCAGAUAUCAGGAGGAACACCGAUGGCGAAGGCAGGUCUCUGGGCCAUUACUGACGCUGAGGAGCGAAAGCGUGGGGAGCAAACAGGAUUAGAUACCCUGGUAGUCCACGCCGUAAACGGUGGGCGCUAGGUGUGGGGAACAUUCCACGUUCUCCGUGCCGCAGCUAACGCGUUAAGCGCCCCGCCUGGGGAGUACGG